UACGUAGGGUGCAAGCGUUAAUCGGAAUACUGGGCGUAAAGCGUGCGCAGGCGGCUUUGCAAGACAGAUGUGAAAUCCCCGGGCUCAACCUGGGAACUGCAUUUGUGACUGCAUGGCUAGAGUGCGGCAGAGGGGGAUGGAAUUCCGCGUGUAGCAGUGAAAUGCGUAGAUAUGCGGAGGAACACCGAUGGCGAAGGCAGCCCCCUGGGUCAAGAUUGACGCUCAUGCACGAAAGCUAGGGGAGCGAAUGGG
rnacentral:rRNA from 1 species